GAGGAUGUGGAGAAAAGGGAACCAUUGUACACUGUUGGUAGGAUUAUAAAUUAGUGUAGUCACUAUGAGAAACAGUGAGGAGCUUCCUCAAAAAAAAAAAAAAAGAAAAUUAAAAAUAGAGCUACCAUAUGAUCCAGCAAUUCCACUUCUGGGUAUUUAUUUGAAAAAAUUAUAAACACUAAUUCAAAAAAGUAUAUGCCCCUGUAUGUUCCCUGCCGAAUUAUUUACAAGAACUAAGAUAUGGAACCAGGAGUUGGGGUAGGAGUCUGCCCGGAAGACGACACAGGAGUCGAUGGCUGAGUGGGAGCUGCUGGCGGGGGAGGAGUCAUCACAGGUGCUGUUGGAUGCUGUAGAGACGGCAGGCCAGCGGCUGUGGAAGCAGGAGGUGGUGUCUGGUGCAAAGGUGAUUGUGUCACUGGUGGA